CCUUCUACUUUUAGGCGAUAAAAACGUGUUUGAUAUAGAAAUCACACCAUACCAAUAUUUUCUACCUUUCUCCUUAUUCGUAUGAUCCGAUCGAGCUUUUAUAAAUUUGCUGAUCUGAGAAGAAAUAUCUGAGACCGACGGAAGCUUUCAUGUGGAAGAUGAAGGAAAAUUAAUAUUUUAUCAUUUCAGUUUCGUCUCGCCGCACAGAAUCAGUGGAGGACUAAUAGUGGUACAGACGAACAAUAGCGUUCAAAUCGCAAGGACGCCCAAGUGUACAAAGAUAUCGCGAUCUUACGAUGACCCAAAAAUUCAAGAAUCGAUUAACCUGGACUUUUGAAUUUAGAAAUUUUAGCCCGGGUAAUUAGCAGUUUGUACCAGUUCGUCGUGAUUGCUGGAAAAUCCAGUCUCACUUCCCGAAAUUGCCGAAUUUUAUAUAUAUUUUAUAUAUAAAGUGGAGCGUUACGAAGGAGGGGUCUUUUUGAUCUUUGAACGUUGGCCUUUACUUUUAAUGUCAAGGUAUUGGAAUCUAGAACCAAAUGUUUGUUAUUGGUUUUGAUAUCGAAAAAUGAAUCUGAUUUAUUUAAAUUUUGCUGUGAAGAUUUCAAAAUAUGCAACGAUUGUGCAUUUAAAUCAAGUAUUCGUCUGUAGCGGGGAAUUCCUGAAAUGUUAUUAAGCUACGGACGUCUCGCAACAAGCAUAUUCAUCUGAAUGUAUAUCUACCAACACACAUGGUAUCAUGAGUGAUCGUCAUAUCGAGUUUUCGAUAAUGGUCCCCAGAAGAGUAAAUGCAUAGAUGGAGAUGAGGUCGAUAGUAGCCAAGAUAAUCUAGUUGUUGCAUCAGGCGAGACCAUACAAUCUUCAAAAACUCAAUCGACUGUCGAUCGAUUCUGGCUUUGUUUUACACUAGGGAGCGAAUACAUUGCCAUGUAUAUUGAUAAAUAAUCACUUUAAAAAAUUGAUAAGGCUUCGGUGACUGGAAGCGUGCAUCUGAGCGCGCCUAUAGGGGCAUGCGAUUUCGAAGCCUUCCAAAGAACUCAUCGAGCAAUGGCAUGCAAACAAAGGGAACGGUCAGGUCAGUUACAUUUCGUCCUCGAAGUUCCAUGGGUGAUCAAUCGACUCUACUCCCGACGUGUGGUCUCGAAACCGCUCUAUUUGGAUCAUUUUGGAACGACAUUUUGGAGUGAUCCAACGGAACAAGUAUUGGAAUCUAGAACCAAAUGUUUGUUAUUGGUUUUGAUAUCGAAAAAUGAAUCUGAUUUAUUUAAAUUUUGCUGUGAAGAUUUCAAAAUAUGCAACAAUCGUGCAUUUAAAUCAAGUAUUCGUCUGUAGCGGGGAAUUCCUGAAAUGUUAUUAAGCUACGGACGUCUCGCAACAAGCAUAUUCAUCUGAAUGUAUAUCUACCAACACACAUGGUAUCAUGAGUGAUCGUCAUAUCGAGUUUUCGAUAAUGGUCCCCAGAAGAGUAAAUGCAUAGAUGGAGAUGAGGUCGAUAGUAGCCAAGAUAAUCUAGUUGUUGCAUCAGGCGAGACCAUACAAUCUUCAAAAACUCAAUCGACUGUCGAUCGAUUCUGGCUUUGUUUUACACUAGGGAGCGAAUACAUUGCCAUGUAUAUUGAUAAAUAAUCACUUUAAAAAAUUGAUAAGGCUUCGGUGACUGGAAGCGUGCAUCUGAGCGCGCCUAUAGGGGCAUGCGAUUUCGAAGCCUUCCAAAGAACUCAUCGAGCAAUGGCAUGCAAACAAAGGGAACGGUCAGGUCAGUUACAUUUCGUCCUCGAAGUUCCAUGGGUGAUCAAUCGACUCUACUCCCGACGUGUGGUCUCGAAACCGCUCUAUUUGGAUCAUUUUGGAACCACAGUUUGGAAUGAUCCAACGGAACAAGUAAGAUUUUGUAAGAUCAGAGGCUUCUUGAAUCUGCUGUGCGUGCAUUGGAGUCGUUUAAAUCAUUCUCCAGAUCUAAAAAGAGACAAUUUUGAUAGAUACGAAGAAGC